CAAUCCUUGGGAGGUAUGCGGGGGCUUCGAGCCCCCCAUUUACGCACGCACGACUGCCAUCCUUACUUUACGAGCACCUUCUGUUCUCCCUCGGCGGGGCAACCUGCCGUUGGAACCGAAUAAACUCUUUUUGCAUCUAGCAUUACCUGUUCCGAAACAAACAAUCGUUACAACUUUCAACAAUGGAUCUCUUGGCUCUGGCAUCGAUGAAGAACGCAGCGAAAUGCGAUAAGUAGUGUGAAUUGCAGAAUUCAGUGAAUCAUCGAAUCUUUGAACGCACAUUGCGCCCCUCGGUAUUCCGUGGGGCAUGCCUGUUCGAGCGUCAUCUACACCCUCAAGCUCUGCUUGGUGUUGGGCGUCUGUCCCGCCUCCGCGCGUGGACUCGCCCCAAAUUCAUUGGCAGCGGUCCUUGCCUCCUCUCGCGCAGCACAUUGCGCUUCUCGAGGGGCUACGGCUCGCGUCCAACAAGCACAUUUACCGUCUUUGACCUCGGAUCAGGUAGGGAUACCCGCUGAACUUAAGCAUAUCAAUAAGCCGGAGGAA
rnacentral:rRNA from 1 species